ensembl:lncRNA CHMP1B2P charged multivesicular body protein 1B2, pseudogene
AGAAACAGGAAAUGGGAUUGCAAACCUAGUAGCUGCGCGUGCCGGCUAUUCAGGACUAGCGCAGGACUCUGGGCGACCUCACAUCCCACUCGUGCUGCUGCCCCGGGCACUCGCCUCCCGCGAAAAGUCGUGGGACCACGUCGAAUAUGGUAGUUAUGUUGGGGAAAUAACUUUUUGAAUAGCCUUAUCCUUAAUGGCUCUUUUCAGAGCCAUUAUUUUACUUGAAGUUUGCUGCAAAAGAACUUAAUAGGAAUGCCAAGAAAUGUGAUAAAGAAGAAAAGGCUGAAAAGGCCAAGAUUAAAAGGCUAUUCAGAAAGGCAAUAAGGAAGCUGCAAGAAUACAUGCUGAAAAUGCAAUCCACCAGAAAAAUCAAGCAAUUGAUUUCUUAAGAAUGAGUGCUAGAGUUGGUGCUGUGGCAGUCAGAGGUCAAAAUGCAGUAACAAUGGGCAGGACUUCUGCCUUGAUGGACAAAUUCAAACACCAGUUUGAAACACUGGAUAUUCAAACACAACAAAUGGAAGAUAAAAUGAGUAGCUCUACAACCCUAAUAACACCACAACACCUAACAUGUGGUUAGUCAAAUGAAAAGAGAACUUGUUAUUACUACUUUGGAUGCUAAUAUGGAAAAAAAUAUGAUUUACCAAGUCGAUUAAGAAGAAAUCGACAGCUGUCCAUCAACAUUUUACCACAAACAGCUCUUUUCACAAAAAGGACACAACUGGAGAAACUGGUUAUUUUACCAAGGCUUUGACUGGAAUGGCAUAGUUUCAGGUUGCUUUAAGGAAUCAACUUUGACUUAUAAAGCCAAUAAAUACACCUUGGGAAAACUGGCCUCAUACCUUGUCUAAAUAGUCUCUGUACACAGCUCUUGACCUCUGGUAAGUAAAGAAUGUUAUUUUCCAGUAGGCCAAGGAGCCCCAAGUUAUCUUGGGACCUCAAGAGGAGAGGAAUUUCCCCAACUCAUAUAGGUAAUUGAUGACACUAACCCAUGGCUGGGAUUAAGUCUUCAAAAAAGUCUUAUCUGAUUCCUCAUGAAAUGAAGUUCCAUCAAAGACAAUUUAAAAGGGAGCCUAUAUGGCAAAUAAUUAUUCUUGCUGUUGUUUAUGCAAAUAAUCAGGCCAAGUAUAAUAAGACAAGUUUAUUCUGCAAACUAAUCAAUCCUAUCAUGAUAUUUUUUAAACAAAGGAGGACUGGAAAGAUAAAAAUCAUGUUUCAAGAACUAUGGUAUACUUAUUAUUAGAUUCUAGUCUCAUCAGUUGUUUUUGAGUUUUUGUCUGCAAUUCAGACUAACCCUGCUUAUUCCUGUGAACUAACUGGUGAACUCUGGCUACAACUCAGAAGAAACAAGAGGGAUGGGUCAUGCAAAAACCUGAAUCAAUGUUCUAAUUCUGGGCAAUAGAAUAAUUGGCUAGCAACCCCAUGCACCCACGUCUUAGCAGGCAUGAAUAUAGCCACCAACUACCGGGGCAUGUCGGCAGCCUCGGGAUUUUUUGGAGGUGUCAUCUCCCCCUUAUUUUGUUUUGACAUUCUUCUCAAUCUACUAACCUGAUUUGUCUUUUCUUGCGUUCAGGCCAUCAAGCUCCAAAAGAUGCUCAGUGAUGGAUACUGUCCUCUCAAUACUAGAGUCACACUUCUAGAGGGGACCCCUAGACUGCCCAUCAGUGGAACAUGACAGAGGCAAAAUCUUGCCACUGUCUUCCUUGGGCCUGGGUGGCUACGACUUUCACCAAUCCAUGGAGCCACCCUGCUCUGACAGCUAACUUCUGUCAGCAGGAAACAAUUACAGAAGACUGACUUACAUCAACUUUCCCCAAAGAAUUGGGGUCUUGGAUUGUUGAGAGGGGACAUGGUACAGUAAGUAGCUAGUCAGACAUGAGCAGAGCAGGAGAGGUCUCUCCCUCACCACACACACACCAGGAAUGUCAGGUGGUUUUUAAGUGUCUCUCUAAAGUAAUAAUUGGUCACAGCGUGUGCAAGGGAAAGGCGGUCGCCCAAUAGGAAAAUACUGAAACUGGUGAUCAGCUUCCUGAUGAGAUCUCAGGAGCCAGGCGAGUGGGCUCAGGCAUGUGCACCAAGAGGCAAAAUGUUGGAGUUUAACUGGUAUAUGACCUUCUAGGGACAUUUGACUGGUAAGGGAAGAACUCCUCAAGAGAGCAUGCAUACAACUCCAGUAAACUCACUGUGCCUGUGGCCUUUCCCAAGUGCUAGCAGGUCACUGCACAUGUGGACAGCCCACCACAAGGGAAGAAUCAGAGAAGGGACACAAGACCCCUGAAGCCUACCAACAUAUAAAAAACUCCAAGUCAAAAGGUCAAACUGUGCACUUAUCUGUGAAGUACCCGCUUGUUCCUCUUACAAGAGUAUUUCACUUUCUUUCUUUCCUGCUCUAAUGCUUUUUAACAUACUUUUAGGCCUGCUUUCAACUUGCUUUGGUUUUUCACUCUGCCUUAUGCCCCUCAGUCAAAAGCCUUCUGGGGAGUCAACAGUAGAGGUUGCUGCAGACCUGUACAGAUUUGCCACUGGUAACAACCCCUGGAUGAACAUUCCAUUGGCAGUAGCUCUGUUUCUCUGAGGUGGAGUUCCCAGAAGCAACUGAUAGUCCCUCUGCUCCUGCCUUCCACAGUACCCACCCUUGCUGCCCCCAGGGUGGAAGAGUCACAAAGAGCUUGAGUACUUUACUUGCACCUCCAGCAUGCUACAGCCACCCUAUAGAGAGGAGGUCAGACUGUGCUCCCAUCAGCCACCCCCCAACCCCAUCUCUUCACCAGGCAGGGCCCUCUGGCUUUGGCCUGCAGCAAAGAAGUGUCACCCCCAGCUGAUCAUUCCAAUUUGCAGUGGCUCUGUGUUUCUCUGUCAUAUAGCUAGCUCCCAGAGACAAAUGACAGCCCGUCUGCCAUCACUGCUGCUGAGGUCCCGACCCCUGCUGCCCCCAAGCUGAGUAGAGAACAAGAAGCCUAAACAUACCCCAGGGCUACUGUGCACAGCUUAGGAGUGCCAAAUGGUGAUCUGUGGCCAGCACACGAGCAGGAGAGGAACCCACACUCUCAGAGCCCUAAGAGGUUAGAGUCAAAGCUUCAGGAACUGUGCAGAAACACAGCAUGCCUCCAUCUGCAGGUUCCACCUGGGAAAGGUGUGGCCUAUCUCCCUGUCAUGGCCCCUGCCCAUGGAAGUCCUGCAGCCUAGAAUGCCUAACAAAAGAAAAGCGUAUGCCAUGCCAGUGAUUGUAGGGAGUUCUUCCAAGACACAAGAGUGGACCUAGUGAGGGAGUCACCUCUCUCCACCCCACACCAAAGAGCACACCCGAAAGCAUGAAGAAAUACAGAGGAGCCACAUGGUGUAAUAAGAGCCUAUUUACUGUUACUCUUAAGCACCAUCUACUGAAUUGCAGCCCGAACUAGAACACCAAAAAUAUUUUGCUAAUAUACUCAUCUGUGAAACCAAGGGCAAUAUUUCAGCCACAAAAAAGGCCCACCACAGAGCCUUGGCCCUCUGAAAACAUCCAGAAACAAAGCCAACUGACUAUAAUCAAAUUACAAUACAGUUGAAGGAAUGUCAGUCCUCCCAGUUGAAAAAGAGCGAGCCCAAGAAUUCUGGCAAAACAAAUAGCCAGUGUGUCCCCCUACCCAUAAACAAGUCCACUGGCUCCCCAAGAAUGGUCCUUAACAUUUUGGAAAUGACUGAAGUGACAGACAUACAAUUCAAAAUUUAUAUGGCAAGGAAGUUUCAGGAGAAAGUUAAAAUUUCAAUCCAAGGAAUCUAAAAAAUCCAAUAAAAUGAGAUGAGCCGAAAGACAAAAUAACCGUUUUAACAAAGAACCAAACUGAUAGAGCUGAAAAACUCACUACAAGAAUUUCAUAAUAAAAUUGGAAGUAUUAACAGCAGAAUAGAUCAAACUGAAGAAAGAUGAGACCCAACCAUCUGCUCUCUUCAAAAGACACGUAUCUCAUUUAGCAACACCCACAGGCUCAAAGUAAACGGUUGGAGAAAGAUCUACCAUGCAAAUUAAAAAGAGCAGGUGUUGCUAUUUUUAUAUCAGAUAAACAGAUUUUAAACCAAUAAAAAUUAAGGAGAUUGUAUAAUGAUAAAGCAUACAAUACAAGAAGAAGACAUAACUAUACUAAAUGUAUAUUCAGCCGACAUUGGAGCACUGAGAGUCAUAAAACAGUUCUUUUUGACCUACGAAGACUUCAACAACCACAGAAUAACAGUGAGAGACUUCAACACCACACUGACAGCAUUAGACAGGACAUCAAGGGAGAAAACUAACAAAUUCUGGCCUUAAACUUGAAACUUGACCAAUUGGAUUAAAAAGACAUCUACACAACACUCCACCCAACAGCCAUAGAAUAUAUAAUCUUCUCAUCUGCAUAUGGAACAUAUUCUAAGAUUGACCACAUGCCCAGUCAUAAGGGAAGUCUCAAAACAUUAAAAAAUUGAAAUCAUAACAAGCACACACUCAGACCACAAUCCUCACAGAAUACUAUGCACAACUAUGUGCAUGCAAAUUAGCAAAUCCAGAGUAAAUGGAUAAAUUCCUGGAAAAACACAAAUUCCCAAAAUUAAGUCAGGAAUAUAUUGAAACCCUGAAUAGAUCAAUAUAGAGCUCUGAAAUUAAAUCAGUAAUUAAAAUAAAAAACUACCAAUAAAAAAAAAGCCCAGGACAAGAUGGAUUCACAGGUGAAUUCUACCGGUGAACAAAGAAGAAUUUGUAGUAAUCCUUCUGAAACUAUUCCAAAAAAUUGAGGAGGAGUGUCUGCUCCCUAACUCAUUCAGUGAAGCCAAUGUCAGCCUAAUACCAAAAUCUGGCAGAGACAAAGUGAAAAAGGAAACUUCAGACUAAUACUCUUCGUGAAUAUAGGUGCAAAUAUCCUCAACAAAAUACUAGUAAAUUGAAUCCAGCUGCACAUCAAAAAGUUAAUGCACCACAACCAAGUUGGAUUUGCAAGGCUGGUUCAAUAAAUCAAUAAAUGUGAUUUAUAAUCAAUAAAUGUGAUUCACCACACAAACAAAAUUAAAAACAAAUACCAUAUGAUCAUCUCAAUAGACGGGCAAAAAGAUUUUGAAAAAAUUCAAGUUGUUCAUGUCCAAACCCCUCAAAAAAUUUGAUACAGUCAAAGGUGGGCACAGUGUAAAAAUAAAUAAGGAAGGGUAGAUAUAUGUAAAAUAGGUGAAAGGUGGGGAUCAAAGGAAAGCAUGCGAAAUGGGAAGACGGGUUUGCAACCUGGUCUGUGAAUUUUACUUGUAACUUGGCCUUUAGGGUUUAAACUGUCUUUGGCUUGAAGAUGGGAUUUCACUGGGUACCUGCCCCUGUUUUAGGAUUUCUCUGCCUCCUCCCUCUAUCAUUUCCCCCUCUGAAGAGGUACAUGUAACUGCCGUUAGAACAGGGAUGAUGACUGAUCUUAGCUGCUUCCUGCUGACAGGGGCAUUGUUUUAGGGGCAAUGACAAUCAGAUUUCUCUCAGAGGCCUAUCUAAGGGUCCUCAGUAAAAGGGAGCCAUUGUCUGAGGCUCUGGUUGCGUGACUGGAGUUUGUUGGCCUGUAGGCAAGAAGAAACAAAUUUUACAAGGCUAACUAUGCAUGGAUCAAAUAUGGGUAUUAUACAAAGAGGAGUUAAAGGGAACAAAUCUAGUGUCAAAGAUAACAGAAAUGAGAAGUGAAAUAUACUAAUCAUUCUGAAAAUAAUAUUGUGCCCCUGAUGAAAGAAAUUAAAUAUUGUAUGGGAGCAAUUAAACUUUAAAAAAGAGAUAACUGUUGAGGGGAGUAGGUAUUUCUGUUCGUGUUCAGGAUUAAUGGACCCUUGGUAAAGGUGCCUCAUGGUGAAGAACAAAACAAAGGUAAGAACAGCAAGCAUAGGCAAGACUAUAAAGAGGAUAUCCAUGGAAGGUCAAUUAUUAACACUUAUCUUUUGUGAUUUUUAGCUUGAGGUCCCAGAUUUUUUCACAUUGGUACUUUGGGUGCUCUUCUGGGUUGAUGGAAGUGAUGCUGUCAGCUUCCCCAUGUGUUUACUUGAGUAUAUGAAUCCAAGAAUCUGUUCCAGUGACCUUCCCUGCUGUAGGAGUGGAAAGAAGUACAGUGUACUUCCCAAUCUUCCCUCCCAAUCUGGGCCUAGAGAGGGAGAAAGGAAGGGAAGUGCCUUUACCAGUACUAGGUCCCCUGGAUUGAAUAUAAUUUUAUCAUUUUGAGAUUGUUAUAUAAAUGAAAGUAUAUAGUGUUUAACCUUUUGAGAUUGACUCUUUCACUAAACAAGAUAUCCUUGAGAUCUUUGAAAGUUUUUCAUGUAUCAAUAAUUUGUUCAUUUUUAUUGCUGCAUAGUAUUCCACAGUAUAGAUGCACCAGUUUGUUUAACCAUUCACCUUCUAAGAGGCAACUGCAAUAUUGACAGUUUUGGGAUAUUACAAAUAAAGCUGCAAUGAACAUGUGUGUACAGGUUUUUGUUGUAAAAAUAAGUUUUAAUUUUUCUGGAAUAAAUGCCCCAAAGUGCAAAUUACUGGGCCAUAUGAUGUGUAUUUUUAACUUUAUAAGAAACAGUCAUAUUCUUCCAGAGUGGCUGUAGCAUUUUCUAUUCCCAACAACAAUGUAUGAUCUAGCUUUUCUGAAUCCUCACCUGCAUUUUGUACUGUCACUGUUGUCUAUUUUAGCCAUUUUGAUAGGUAUGUAGUGAUAACAUAGUUUUAAUUUAUAUUUCCCUAAUGGCUACGCAUAUUGAACACCUUUCCAAGUGAUUAUUAUCACAUGUAUAUAUUAUUUGGUGAAAAGUCUGUUCAUGUCUUCUGCCUACUUUCUAGUGAUAUAAUAAACUUUAUUAUUUUUUGCA